rnacentral:rRNA from 1 species
CCCUUAGAUGUUCUGGGCUGCACGCGCGCUACAAUGGCGUUUUCAAAAAGAUUGCUAAUCCGAAAGGACCAGCGGAUCUUCGAAGUGGCGUCGUGAUCGGGACAGUUGAUUGCAAUUAUUCGACUCGAACGAGGAAUUCCUUGUAAUCGUGCGCCAUCAGCGCACGCUGAAUACGUCCCUGUUCUUUGUACACACCGCCCGUCGCUCCUACCGAUCGAGCGAUCCAAUGAAUGUUUCGGAGCGGAACUGAGAUGCUAAUGCGUCUCUUUUACGCGAAUUUGUGUGAAUUUGAUCGCUUAGAGGAAGGAGAAGUCGUAACA